AGUUUACUUCAGUAUGGCCUAGUGAUCCCAUCUGACCAUGAUCUGAGGUCCUUAAAUCUCCUCCACUUGAGGUAGAAGAUGUCAAGCUUGGUGCCUAAAGCAGCUGUGUAAGGGGCAGGUUUUUACCCUGUCCUUGCCAGGUCAGCCCCAUCUGUCCCACCCAUUGCUGAAGAACCUGACCUUGACUCGACUGGCUGAGAAAUAAGGAGAUUCCCUGGCUAUGGACCUCUUCUUCCCUACGCUCAUUCCUCCCAUGAUCUCACAAACUGUCAUGAAAUUGUGUUCAACUUCGCACUCGGUAUCUCCAGUCUGAAAUGUCACGUAUGAAUGUGUGCAGCUUGACGUCUCCCCUCCAAACCACUUCCCUGCACUCUGGCUCCUCUGUGC